ACGACACUCCUACGGGAGGCAGCAGUGGGGAAUUUUGGACAAUGGGCGAAAGCCUGAUCCAGCAAUGCCGCGUGAGUGAAGAAGGCCUUCGGGUUGUAAAGCUCUUUUGUCAGGGAAGAAACGGUGAGAGCUAAUAUCUUUUGCUAAUGACGGUACCUGAAGAAUAAGCACCGGCUAACUACGUGCCAGCAGCCGCGGUAAUACGUAGGGUGCAAGCGUUAAUCGGAAUUACUGGGCGUAAAGCGUGCGCAGGCGGUUUUGUAAGUCUGAUGUGAAAUCCCCGGGCUCAACCUGGGAAUUGCAUUGGAGACUGCAAGGCUAGAAUCUGGCAGAGGGGGGUAGAAUUCCACGUGUAGCAGUGAAAUGCGUAGAUAUGUGGAGGAACACCGAUGGCGAAGGCAGCCCCCUGGGUCAAGAUUGACGCUCAUGCACGAAAGCGUGGGGAGCAAACAGGAUUAGAAACCCCAGUAGUCCC
rnacentral:rRNA from 1 species